rnacentral:rRNA from 1 species
GGUGGGGACGACGUCAAGUCAUCAUGGCCCUUACGCCCAGGGCUACACACGUACUACAAUGGCGGGUACAAUGGGCUGCGAGACCGCAAGGUGGAGCCAAUCCCAAAAAACCCGUCCCAGUCCGGAUCGGAGUCUGCAACUCGACUCCGUGAAGUCGGAAUCGCUAGUAAUCGGAGAUCAGCAUGCUCCGGUGAAUACGUUCCCGGGCCUUGUACACACCGCCCGUCACACCACGAAAGUCGGUUCUACCCAAAACCGUCAGGCUAACCUUCGGGAGGCAGACGUCUACGGUAGGGCUGAUGAUUGGGGUG